CGUGGGAACGACUUAGGCACUGCUCCUGGGGAAAGGAUCCGGGUGAACGCCACAGGCAUCUUUUCGGGGUCCCUGUUGGCAUAGUUCAAGAAACAAGGUGGCUUAGGGAAUGCUUCCAACUAUUCUAGGCGGUAAGCUAGGAUUGGAUUUGCUUUGAUUCUUUGUGUAUUUAUUAUGUAUUUCAUGUAUAUAUAUUUUUUUGUAUUUCCAUGUAUGUCUCUAUUUCCUUGUAACAUUUCCUUGUAUUUGCAUUUUGGUAUUUUCCCUG